rnacentral:lncRNA from 1 species
GCCAGCUCUGCUUCUUGAUGGCUGUGUGACUGUGAGCAAUCGCUCCACCCCUGAGUUUCCAUAUGCUCAGAUAAAAAGGAGACAUCACCCCCCACCCUGCAGGCCUCUUCUGAAAGGCGAAAUAAGGUGACCUUUGUUGGGCACCAAAGCACAGCACACGGUAGGUACCCAUGAAACGAGAACUUUCCUUGUCAUCGGAGGAUGACGCAAAUCGAAACAGGGAGGUGAUAUUACAGAACUGAAUGGAAGGGUGAAGAAUGAAUGUGAACAAAGUGAGAACCAACGUGAAGGCCUCCCAUAUGGGAAAGCCCAGGCACUAAUUGCAGUCUUCUCAGUGGGCUGGCUCAACAGUUGCCGGCUUGGAGUGUCAGAGGAAAGAGGGGCCAGGUGAAGAAACCUCACCAUCUUUCAUGAAAGGAAUACUUCCCGUCCACCCUCCAUCCUCCCCUCCUACAAAAGGUACAGAAUGUGCCCAGAAUCCCAACUGCUCAGCUGCCUCAUUCUGGAAGAGCCUUCCUCGCCAGGUCCCUGGAGGUUUGAUGAGAAGAACAGAUAGCCAUUUACUUGCUUCUCCAAAAACUCAGUGAUUUGGGUUUUGCAAAUAGAACUUGAUGUUUUGAGAUGACAUGAUCUACCCUUCAGGUUCCAAACUCCCCACCAUCCCCAUUUUCGGGAGACCUCGGUCAGGAGGCUUUGGGGCGGCCUUUUCAGGCUUCUCCAAAGGUGAGGUCUUCUCGGUGGCCUGGACCAGCCGGAUCACACUCCAGGCACAGCAGACACAUUCUGCAAUACAGGAGCUCCACGUCACUGGCCUCCCGAGCAAAGGAAACGCCACUUCCUGCAGCCAAGGGAACCAUGGUUUGCAGAGCACAGGACUGGCAUUCAAAGUACAGCAGAGGAGGUGCUGAAGCACUGGGUUUGGGGAGCCCCAAGAUGGGAAGCCACCAUCUCCAAAGCCAGUAGAUCAUCAAGGGAUGAUUAAGAAAACCACCCAGGUCAGUGCCCAGACACAAGAGGUGCUCAGCAAACCUCUGCAAAAGGACCCAAGGAGGUCUGCUAAGGACUCUUUACCAGGAGAGAAAAAGUACCACUGCCUGCCCACAAGCUAGGAGAAUGUCCUGUAUUCAGAGAGAGGACUAGAAAAGGAAAAUCAUCUCCUGGCUCCAGGGCACAAAUUUUUAACCUUUUUUUGCACCAAUGACCCCUUCUGCAGCUUGGUGAAGCCAUGGCCCUAUCUCUGAGUGAUUCUUCCACAUGCAUAAAAUGGACAAGGUUAAAAAAAAAAAAGAAGAGGGAAAUCAACCAAUGUAUAAAAAUGUAAUGUAUUUUCCCAAAACUAAAAAGUGGCAUUCGUUCAGGUAGCCCGUCUGUCUGUCUUCCUUGCUCUGGGUUUGCAUGCGCUGUGCCUGUGAGGUAUGCAAUGGUAGACCAGGAAAUAUUCAACGACCAGUUCUCCAAGACAGAAAGCUUGCUUUGCAGUGUUUGCCCAUUUCCACGGUGUCAACACUCCCACAGUGGCUGAUUUCCAGCUCCCGGUGUGACGAUACUGUAUAUGGAGCUGGGAGGAGAAGUGCAGCGGCACCAUUACGUGCUACCUCCGCCAUGUGGAUACACGGAUGCCUAUGACCUCAGGCACAUAGGUCAGAACAACAUGUAACAGAGUUCCUGGAACUUUAAAAAUCAGCUCUCACAAGGCCACGAAAACGGGCUCCAGGACACUCCUGGGCACCCAUAGGUCUCUGUGUGCAUCUGUUUAGGUGCAUAACUACUCAGAUUGCAGUCUGCCCAUCUCUUACUCUCUUCUCCCAUUGAUUUUCACAUCUGCUCGUUGAGAACAGCCCCACCCCCACCAACACACACAUACACAUACACACACACACACACACACACACACACACACACACACACACCCCUUGCCCCAGCCCUACUCCCUGUGAAAGCUUAUGAGGACCCUGCUAUGGUCUGGCCUGCACACACAUACCCCCAGCCCCGCGCCCCCGGAGUGCCAUGAACACCCCUUGUUCACUGGCCCGGGCUCCCCUUAGAUCUGGAGAAAGCCGCAUCCCUGCACAUCCCAGAAAUGCGCAAAUCCUACAAACCAAAUCACCUCGGCCCCAAGGCUCCUAGAGCCUUCUCGCCCCAGCAGGAGGGAGAGCCUCAUCUUUAAAUCCCAUCACACACAUCUUCCUGUCUAGACGAGGUCCCUGGCUGCCAGGGCCUCAGAGUGAAUGGAUUCACAGCCUCCACCCGCUGGCACCACCGAGCCCCGCCGCACCCCGCCGCUAUUCUCAGGACGACCUGGGCAGCCCCCCAGCUUCUAGAAAAGACACAGAGGAGACUGCGCAAUCAACAGGCAGGAGUGUGCGUGAGUGCGGCAUGACAUGGGCACGCCACCCCAGAGAAGUGGGCGCCUGCUGCGCUAAACGUCAUCCGUCAUCCUUUCGCUGAAAAGUUGGAAAACAAACAACAAAAACCCCGCCCAGCCUCAUUUAAUGCGAACCAAACACAAAAGCCACAGGGGAAAGCUUUUCCUCUCUGUGCUUCCCUUUUCCGGCCGAGGAACACCACCAGCCAAGAUAAGGGGACUGUGCGGGGCCCUCUGCGCGGCUUCAAAGGGCUGGCACCCGCCCGGGCCCGCUCCCACUCCCACUGGCUAAUGGGCUCCCCGCUCCAGCCCUUGGGGAGCAGGAGGCGGCCGGGGCUCCAUGCCAGGCGACUUGGAAGAGGUUUAAGGCUCACGCCACACAAGGGAGGAAGCUCGGCCUGUCAAGAGGCGUGAUAAAGCAGCCCCUUAUCGCAGUUUUCCUUUCAACUGCCUCCAAGUGAGCGCCGGCCGGGGCUGGGCCUGUCAAGGCCAAGCGUGUUCCUUUCAUGUCGCCCUGGGUUCCUCGGUCAGCGACGUAUCCACGGGCUCAUGGAACUGUAGCGUCAGCAUUGGAGUUUGCAGCUUGGGGCCAGAGGCUCCAGGAGGAUGCGAUCGUGUGCCUCCCAGCCUGGGCCUCUGGUGAACCAUGUGGCAUCUGCAAAUCCACUAGAACCAUCUGGGUCCCAGUUUUGCCAUCAGGAAACCAGGAGAAGAAGAUUCCAGAGCAGUGGGGUCCAACAGUUUAGACUGGGGGCUAGGGAGUCGGCAGACACAAGCUCAAGUCCCAACUGCUGAACUCGCUGGCUGUGGACCUUGGGCAGGUCACUCUGACUCUUUGACACAUGUGUCACAUAGAAAAAAGCACUUGUACAUUUCAUAGAGUUGCCAGGACCCAAUGAAUUGGUAUAAGCACAGCUCUUAGAACCAGUGGCGACACAUAGUAAGCGCUCAGUAAACGUUGGCCUUCAUCUUGUUGUAAUUCUUGUCGUUUUCUCAUGGGGCUGUUAUGGGCAUAGAAUGGGGAUUGGCGACCUCACAUUGCAACUGAGUGAUGUGAAAUUGACAACAUGCUAGAGAAAUGAUUUUGAUCUUCUAGGCACCUCCCAUUUACAGAGGGAAUGUCCCAGACUGACACAGUGAAUCUACGAUAAAAGAAAGCCUCUCAUUACUUGAGCACCUUUCCACCCCGACUAUGAGUCUCACUC